AAAGUCGUAACAAGGUUUCCGUAGGUGAACCUGCGGAAGGAUCAUUAACACGUAUCCACGUAUCAACCAAACGGUAACUGUAUUUUUCCCUACUACUUGCUGGGCUGUUGCUUGGGCCAUAGUGGGUGUGCUUCGGCACACGGUCCAAGUCAGCUGGGGCUUCGAGCCUAGUGUCCAGUUUGUAGUCCACCUUGCAUUCUCUACUGUGGGUGCAGGGUGGAGUAACUAACCAAUUUCACCCCAAUUAUAACAUUCUGACUAAUACUAUUCACUUGGAGAAAUCCAAGCCUGAAUUGAGUUUAUCUUAACUAAGUACAACUCUUAGCAAUGGAUAUCUUGGUUCUC
rnacentral:misc_RNA from 1 species